GAUGAAGAACGUAGCGAAAUGCGAAAAGUAGUGUGAAUUGCAGAAUUCCGUGAAUCAUCGAGUCUUUGAACGCACAUUGCGCCUCAUGGCAUUCCGUGAGGCAUGCCCAUCUCAGCGUUAGAAAAUAUUCUCAAAUUUUAGUUUUGUGCUAAAAUUUGGAUCAUGUCAAAGAAGCUAUUACUAUUAUUGUGAUCGCUCUUUGGAAAUUGAUAGGUCUUUGAGUUGCUACUCAUAGAACGUGAUGAAUCUUUCUUCGUUCUAUUGUAAUUCACUCUGGUAGUCCUAAAACUUGUAUGCCUGUGGCAUAUCUUGUAAUUUGACCUGAGAUUGGGUAGGGAUACCCGCUGAACUUAAGCAUAUCAAUAAGCGGAGGA
rnacentral:misc_RNA from 1 species